AUUUUACAGGAUAAUACAGCGGUGUUUCCUCCUGCUUACAAAGUUAGAAAUCGCAGAGACACAUUUCUUGGUCCUAAGGGUGAAAUGCAGGAAUUUCUGGAGGGGCUAGUCGAUGCAAAUGAUGUUCCAACAUAUGUGAAAGGACAUCCCCUUGGACAACCUGCGAUAACAGACUCUCAUCCUGAUUGGGAUUACUAUGCUUGGAUAGUUCGCGCCGCGGAAGCUCCUGACUUUGGCUGCCCUGAUUAUGAAUCUGAUUAUUACUCUGAUUAGGACUCUAGUUACUAUUAAAUCAAGAUGGUUCAUGGUUUUCCCAUAAGUAAAUCUCUUGUUAGCAGCAGUAAGUUUUUAUGUAAUGGCGUGGUCUUAUGUUUUUUGCAAGUUGCUUGUCUUUGUGGUUUUAUGUGCCUAUGGGUGACUAAUGAUAUAACUAUGUUUACCUAA